rnacentral:tRNA from 1 species
GGAGGGGUGGCAGAGCGGUUGAAUGCACUGGUCUUGAAAACCAGCGAGGGUUAACGCCCUCCGAGAGUUCGAAUCUCUCCCCCUCCGCCA